AAGGGAGACCUAAUUCAGGUAGGAGACGAAAAAAAAGUAGUCGCUACCAAGAAUCAAUCCCAAAAGGUCGGAGCGAGGCGAAAUUGGCUUUCAAACUAGGUUCUGGGUUCACACAAGACCUGAAUCAGGAACAAGGGCUAUUAGCUCAGGUGGUUAGAGCGCACCCCUGAUAAGGGUGAGGUCCCUGGUUCGAGUCCAGGAUGGCCCACCUGCACAGGUGGCAAAAAGAAAGAAAAGAAGCGAGGAAUCAGCACCUUAUCUUACUUAUAUAGUAAGAGAGAAUGCUGGCUCUGAGUUCAGAGUCCAGAGGAACCUUGAAAACUGCAUAGAGCUAGGUGAAAAAGCCAAAAAAGAAGACCGCAAGGUCAAGCUAAUAAGGGCUAACGGUGGAUACCUAGGCAC
rnacentral:tRNA from 1 species